UCGGGGAGGGUUCAUUUGGAAAACUGGGGAACUUUGAGUUGCAGAAGAGGAGAGUUGGAAUUUCCACGUUGUAGCGGUGAAAUUGCGUAGAGAUGUGGAGGAACACCAGUGGCGAAGGCGACUCUCUGGUCUGUAACUGACGCUGAGGAGCGAAAGCGUGGGGAGCGAACAGGAUUAGAUACCCUGGUAGUCCACGCCGUAAACGAUGAGUGCUAAGUGUUAGGGGGUUUCCGCCCCUUAGUGCUGCAGCUAACGCAUUAAGCACUCCGCCUGGGGAGUACGGUCGCAAGACUGAAACUCAAAGGAAUUGACGGGGGCCCGCACAAGCGGUGGAGCAUGUGGUUUAAUUCGAAGCAACGCGAAGAACCUUACCAGGUCUUGACAUCCUCUGACAAUCCUAGAGAUAGGACGUCCCCUUCGGGGGCAGAGUGACAGGUGGUGCAUGGUUGUCGUCAGCUCGUGUCGUGAGAUGUUGGGUUAAGUCCCGCAACGAGCGCAACCCUUGAUCUUAGUUGCCAGCAUUCAGUUGGGCACUCUAAGGUGACUGCCGGUGACAAACCGGAGGAAGGUGGGGAUGACGUCAAAUCAUCAUGCCCCUUAUGACCUGGGCUACACACGUGCUACAAUGGAC
rnacentral:rRNA from 1 species